rnacentral:lncRNA from 1 species
CUCAGCUCCCGGUAGAAGUGGCGGCGUCGCCUGCUCCCGCGCGCCCUGGCGGCCCGGAGCCGCGCUCGUUGGGCUCCCAUCCUGGGUCCCGGGCGGCGGGAAAGGCAAGAUGUUGAGGCGCAAUCUGGAUGAGCGGUAACCGCCGGGGCCUCGUCGUGCAGGCUGCCCGAAGGAAAGGGCCGGGUGGGAGAGAGGAGCCGGGCCGAGGGCCUGGAAGCCGGUUGGGGCGGGAGGAGGCCGCACGGUCCCCGUGGCGCUCUGCAGUCCGUCCACCCGGAUGAGGCGAGUGCCGGGCCGAGAGAGUCUCCCGGCCGAUCGGUCCCCCUGAGCUGGGCCGGGCCCUGCCGCGGUACAGAGCCCGGGAGGCCGCAGGUGCCCAGGCCGCAGCAGCGCCGCCCCUUCUCGGCCCACCAGGCCCGGGCCCUUUCCCGGGCCUGCAAGGUUCUAGGCAGGACCAGAGCCUGCGUGAGGUCCUAGAGAAGGCGCGGGCCUCUGGAAGAGUUGGGAAUGUUGCCCUUCAGGGCUUUAGGGAGGCCCGGGAAUGUUUGCACGUAAAAUUAACGGGGCACCUUCUUACUGUUUUAAGAACAGUGUUCUGUGUCUCCUUUUUCUAGAGAUGCUCAAACAAAACAACUGCAGGAUGCUGUCACAAAUGUGGAGAAGCAUUUUGGAGAGCUUUGCCAAAUCUUUGCUGCUUAUGUACGGAAAACUGCCAGGCUUCGAGACAAAGCCGACCUCCUAGUGAACGAAAUCAACCUGUAUGCCUCUACCGAGACACCAAAUUUAAAGCAGGGUCUGAAAGACUUUGCUGAUGAGUUUGCCAAACUUCAAGAUUAUCGCCAGGCAGAGGUAUGAAGUGAGGUUCUGGUGUCAUAGCCAAAUUCCUACAAAGUGUGUAAAAAUUGUGGACUUUUCGUUGUAACCUACCCAGCAGUGGUGAAUGUACCCUUGAUAAAUGCCUUUCCUGUCUGUAACAGUGUGGGUUCGCUAUAUGGAACCUUUCUGUGACCUGAUAGCUUUCAAACUAAACGUCAGGUGUGGUUGAAGUCUGAGUUUACCACUGCAUUUGCCAACAGGGUAACAGGGAACAUGCAUCCAGAAAAGGUAACCUAUAUAGCAGUCGUGCAGAAGAAAAGCACCUGUAUGGCCUGUGUGGGCCAAGUGCGUUUUAAAGAAUGACUAGAAAUGGAAAUGCUGAAAAUGACAAAAUCACAAAGUACUAAUAAAUGGGCUACACGUUGCUGAUUUUCCCAUGGUUUGAAAGUCGAACGAAAUCGGAAAGCUAUGAUUUAUAACACAAGUGAUACAGCUGAGAGGCUGGCUGUGUGUUUGCUUUGAGUGACCAGAGCUUUGCUCUUGGGAGAUCUUUCUAAAAUACAGUCUUUUCUUAAUACUGCAUAAGCGUUUUCACUUACUUCUUAUAGGUACCAGUUAACAUAGUUGGCUCGUUCAAAUUCCAUUGCUUUUUUUUUUACUUUUGUAACAAGCCCCAUUGAUCUUUCUUAUGCUUAAAGCCUAAAACAAAUUUUCACUUACUGAAAAUUAAAAAGAGAAAUAAUCUAUGAAGUUAUCAUCAUCAUGUAUAUAAAACUCGAAUACUAAUCCCCUGGGGAUAACU